CCUGAACGCUGGCAGCGUGGUUAAGACAUGCAAGUCGCACGGGUGUAGCAAUACAUCAGUGGCGCACGGGUGAGUAAUGUAUCGCUAACGUACCCUUAGGACCGGGAUAGCCAUCCGAAAGGAUGGGUAAAACCGGGUAAUAUAGCCGGGAGGCAUCUUCUGGCUCUCAUACACCGCAAGGUGCCUUUGGAUCGGGCGAUAUCGUAUCAGCUAGUUGGUAGGGUAACGGCCUACCAAGGCGACGACGCGUAGCCGGACUGAGAGGUCGGCCGGCCACAUCGGGACUGAGACACUGCCCGGACUCCUACGGGGGGCGUGCAGUAACGAAUACUUCCCCUAACCUAGUACGAAAGUAAUGAGGGAGGCGACG
rnacentral:rRNA from 1 species